rnacentral:rRNA from 1 species
UACAGAGGGGGCGAGCGUUGUUCGGAAUUACUGGGCGUAAAGGGCGCGUAGGCGGCCUCUUAAGUCGAACGUGAAAUCCCCGGGCUUAACCUGGGAACUGCAUCCGAGACUGCAUGGCUAGAGUAUGGGAGAGGGAAGUGGAAUUUCAGGUGUAGCGGUGAAAUGCGUAGAUAUCUGAAGGAACAUCAGUGGCGAAAGCGACUUCCUGGACCAAUACUGACGCUCAUGUGCGAAAGCGUGGGGAGCAAACAGG